GGGUCAGUAGGUUGGUCGUGCCACCGGUACGUACUGGUCUCACUGAUUCCUCCUUCCUGAAGAACCGUAAUGCCAUUAAUUUGGUGUUGCGGGGAAACAGGACUGUUACUUUGAAAAAAUUAGAGUGUUUAAAGCAAGCUAACGCUUGAAUACAUUAGCAUGGAAUAAUGAAAUAGGACGAUCGAUCCUAUUUUGUUGGUUUCUAGGAUUGACGUAAUGUUUAAUUGGUUUAGUUGGG
rnacentral:rRNA from 1 species